UCGGAUCGCGUCGACGUCGGCGGUUCGCCGCCGAUGUUGCUGUGAGAAGUUCAUUAAACCUUAUCAUUUAGAGGAAGGAGAAGUCGUAACAAGGUUUCCGUAGGUGAACCUGCGGAAGGAUCAUUG
rnacentral:rRNA from 1 species